rnacentral:rRNA from 1 species
UACGGAGGGUGCAAGCGUUGUCCGGAUUUAUUGGGUUUAAAGGGUGCGUAGGCGGCUUUUUUAAGUCAGAGGUGAAAGACUACAGCUUAACUGUGGCAGUGCCUUUUGAUACUGGAGAGCUUUGAGUACAGUUGAGGUAGGCGGAAUGCAGGGUGUAGCGGUGAAAUGCAUAGAUACCCUGCAGAACACCCGAUUGCGAAGG